AGAGGGUGCGAACGUUGCUCGGAUUUACUGGGCGUAAAGCGCGUGUAGGCGGACUCGCAAGUCGGUUGUGAAAUCCCUGGGCUCAACCUAGGAACUGCAUCCGAAACUGCUUGUCUUGAGUAAUGGAGAGGGUGGCGGAAUUCCCGGUGUAGAGGUGAAAUUCGUAGAUAUCGGGAGGAACAUCAGUGGCGAAGGCGGCCACCUGGACAUUUACUGACGCUGAGACGCGAAAGCGUGGGGGGAGCAAACAGGAUUAGAUACCCUGGUAGUCCACGCCGUAAACGAUGAGCACUAGGUGCAGCGGAUAUUGACGUCUGCUGUGCCGCAGCUAACGCGUUAAGUGCUCCGCCUGGGGAUACGGCCGCAAGGCUA
rnacentral:rRNA from 1 species